rnacentral:tRNA from 1 species
GGGGUGUAGCUCAGUUGGGAGAGCGCCUGCUUUGCACGCAGGAGGUCAUCGGUUCAAGUCCGUUCACCUCC